rfam:Puccinia triticina 1-1 BBBD Race 1 supercont2.14, whole genome shotgun sequence.
GCGCACUUAGCUUAGUUGGUUAAAGCAUCACUCAUGAAGUUCGAGGUCGCGGGUUCAAGUCCCGUAGUGCACA